GACGAACGCUGGCGGCGUGCUUAACACAUGCCAGUCGAACGGAAAGGCCCUGCUUUUGUGGGGUGCUCGAGUGGCGAACGGGUGAGUAACACGUGAGUAACCUGCCCUUGACUUUGGGAUAACUUCAGGGAACUGGGGCUAAUACCGGAUAGGAGCUCCUGCUGCAUGGUGGGGGUUGGAAAGUUUCGGCGGUUGGGGAUGGACUCGCGGCUUAUCAGCUUGUUGGUGGGGUAGUGGCUUACCAAGGCUUUGACGGGUAGCCGGCCUGAGAGGGUGACCGGCCACAUUGGGACUGAGAUACGGCCCAGACUGCUACGGGAGGCAGCAGUGGGGAAUAUUGCACAAUGGGCGGAAGCCUGAUGCAGCAACGCCGCGUGCGGGAUGACGGCCUUCGGGUUGUAAACCGCUUUCGCCUGUGACGAAGCGUGAGUGACGGUAAUGGGUAAAGAAGCACCGGCUAACUACGUG
rnacentral:rRNA from 1 species